AAAUAAUAAAUCAUCAUAAUAUCUUAAGACACGCGGUGGCGAGAGACGGGUGUGGGAAAACUGAUGUCACUCGACACUUGGAAGACCGAAUUCCAAAAGCAGAUAGAUGUUUAAGAACCCUAGGCACCAGUGGCGGAUUCAUUGCAAACAAUCAGCAAUCAGCCAUCUUUCAAAUACUUCUGAGAAUUCUGCAUCAAACUUAAGCGCAUUUUGGGAACCGUUCUUUCACGAUUUAUGUAAAAAUACAUCAUUGCACGGGCUGACUUAUUUGACAAAUGAUUAUAAGCAUUUAUCUGAAAGGCAAGUUCAGUGUUAUUUUAAAAAACCUUAUUCGUUACCUAACUGCUACAACACCCUCAUCCUAUUGCAAAGAGUUCUGUAUACUUGGUGAAGUCAAUUUAUCAUUCAGUGAUUAAAAUUUCUCUUGAGGAAGA